AAGGGUAUAGCUCAAGUGGUAGAGCAUAUGCUUAGCAUACACAAGGUCCUGGGUUCAAUCCCUAGUAUCUCUU
rnacentral:tRNA from 1 species